rnacentral:rRNA from 1 species
AAACCUGAGAAACCCAAAAGAUCGAAUGGGGAGAUUCAUCGUCAGCGAUUUCGGCGCUCGUGCGGUUCGCGAUGCCGGAGACUUCGGUUAUCCGACACGCGUCCGCAUGUUUAUCAUUGCCUUAAACGUCGGCGUGCACUUCUCCCCUAGUAGGACGUCGCGACCCGUUGGGUGUCGGUCUACGGCCCGGGCGGUAGCCUGUCUCGUGUUCGCUUCGCGGCGUUACGCGGUUCAGACCCCCGGUUGCCCGACCGGCUGCUCGGCGGUACGCGCACGGUAUCUGGCCGCAAAUAUUCGAACUGCGUCCGGCCCGUCGCAAGCGAGGCAAGUGUUUCCCGGCUGUACGGAUCUAAUGCCGUCACCGGGCCUUGCCAGCUGUUGGUUGACGGUGUCCUGGGACAGGCCAAUUGAUACCGGUCGGCGACGCUACUGCUUUGGGUACUUUCAGGACCCGUCUUGAAACACGGACCAAGGAGUCUAACAUGUGCGCGAGUCAUUGGGUAUUAUUAAGCCUAAAGGCGCAAUGAAAGUGAAGGUCGGCCUUGCGCCGACCGAGGGAGGAUGGGCCGCGUCACGAUGCGGUCCCGCACUCCCGGGGCGUCUCGUUCUCAU